AGGAAAAUACCCGGCACAGGAAUAGAGAAGAGGGCAAGAUACUUCGUUGAACACGAAUGGUUCGAUAGCACGAGCAAAACGACAGCGAGAAAUUCAGAUCACGCCGUCGCUCGGAGGUGCCUGGAACCGGCCGAAAACAAAAGACAAACGAAUACGUUGCCUGGAGAGUAGCACACCACAAUCACCGACGAGAGGGUAAGGGGUAGAAAAACCUUAACCGCUGCGAGCCAACUACCUGCGCAUCGCAUAACUACUGGAAGCCCAUCAUAUCGCUCCUGGAGCAAAAGAAGAGCCUUCUAAGCGAAGGCUCUUUUCAAUAAUUACAGAUUCAGGCCACACUGGCACAAGACGAAGAUCGCUCGGUGAAGGCAUUGCUCUGAGAAGAUUGGGAAGAAUCACUUCGUGGAAAGUUUCCGAUCACAAGCAGCUCUCGGCUCUCGAAAUAGGAGCAACGGCAAAGGCUCCGUAUUGGCGACGAGGACUGACCAGCUUCGCUUCCUCCCGCAGCGAGAAGGGGAGAGAGCGGAAUCAAUCGGCCGGGCAGUGAGGAACGAAGUAGGGGACGAUGGGAUUAAGCGCUUUCGACGUCUGGCGAGUGAUACGUUCGAGCAUGCGUGGACAAGAGCAGUAACCGUGAGUACUCACGGGAAGCAAGCCGAAGGCAGUGAAGAAGAGAAGAUGUGUUAAAGUACAGAUAGGUGAAGAGUAGGGUAGAGAGGGAUAAUAGGAGAAGAAAAUAUGUGAGAAGCGGGAAAUACAGUAUGCACACCAGAAUCAUGUUUUAUGGCGU